GAUGAACGCUGGCGGCGUGCCUAAUACAUGCAAGUCGAGCGAACAGACGAGGAGCUUGCUCCUCUGACGUUAGCGGCGGACGGGUGAGUAACACGUGGAUAACCUACCUAUAAGACUGGGAUAACUUCGGGAAACCGGAGCUAAUACCGGAUAAUAUAUUGAACCGCAUGGUUCAAUAGUGAAAGACGGUUUUGCUGUCACUUAUAGAUGGAUCCGCGCCGCAUUAGCUAGUUGGUAAGGUAACGGCUUACCAAGGCGACGAUGCGUAGCCGACCUGAGAGGGUGAUCGGCCACACUGGAACUGAGACACGGUCCAGACUCCUACGGGAGGCAGCAGUAGGGAAUCUUCCGCAAUGGGCGAAAGCCUGACGGAGCAACGCCGCGUGAGUGAUGAAGGUCUUCGGAUCGUAAAACUCUGUUAUUAGGGAGGAACAAAUGUGUAAGUAACUAUGCACGUCUUGACGGUGCCUAAUCAGAAAGCCACGGCUAACUACGUG
rnacentral:rRNA from 1 species